GGCCUUAUGGUCUAGUCGUAUGAUUCUCCCUUUGGGUUCAACUCGAAGCUGGGAGAGGUCUCGGGUUCAAUUCCCGAUGAGGCCC